AAAAAUCGACGGUCACAAAAAGACUGCUAAUCCCUUUUGUCCGCGGCUCACCUCCGUGGGAUUUUUG
rnacentral:tRNA from 1 species